AUGGCCAAAACUGCAGUUAUUUU
rnacentral:miRNA from 1 species